rnacentral:rRNA from 1 species
GACGAACGCUGGCGGCGUGCUUAACACAUGCAAGUCGAACGGAAAGGCCCUGCUUUUGUGGGGUGCUCGAGUGGCGAACGGGUGAGUAACACGUGAGUAACCUGCCCUUGACUUUGGGAUAACUUCAGGAAACUGGGGCUAAUACCGGAUAGGAGCUCCUGCUGCAUGGUGGGGGUUGGAAAGUUUCGGCGGUUGGGGAUGGACUCGCGGCUUAUCAGCUUGUUGGUGGGGUAGUGGCUUACCAAGGCUUUGACGGGUAGCCGGCCUGAGAGGGUGACCGGCCACAUUGGGACUGAGAUACGGCCCAGACUCCUACGGGAGGCGGCAGUGGGGAAUAUUGAACAAUGGGCGGAAGCCUGAUGCAGCAACGCCGCGUGCGGGAUGACGGCCUUCGGGUUGUAAACCGCUUUCGCCUGUGACGAAGCGUGAGUGACGGUAAUGGGUAAAGAAGCACCGGCUAACUACG